UACACUAAUCUAUUCAGAUUAGUCAUCAUUCCCAUGAUGAUCUUAUGACUAGGAGCAAUUUAGGAAUUAACUAUUAAUGACACAUGUUUCAAAUUUUCAACUCUUUAAGAAUAUGUGUCAUUAUUUUGUUAAUUCUUUGGAUGAUUCAUGGAUAAAUAAACAUGAAUGAUAAUAUAACUAUCCAAUAAGUAUAAAAUCAUGUCCUAGAGAUAUGAAAUGUGUC
rnacentral:lncRNA from 1 species